CGAGUCCGUGUACGUCAUAGGCGGCCGGCUCUGCCGGAGGGAGCGUGGAGCCGCGGCCGGCGGCUACCGCGACGCCGACGUCGGCGUGAGGGCAGACGUACUGCGGUACGACGCGCGCCGGGGGGAGUGGCACCACUGCGCGCCGCUCCUGGUCCCGCGGUUCGACUUCGCGUGCGCUCCGUGCCGGGGCAGGAUCUGCGUGGCCGGCGGGCAGCGCUCGCUGUCCGGCGCCCGGGGCACGGCGGCGGCCGAGGUGUACGACGCGGAGAAGGGGCAGUGGUCGGCGCUCCCCGACAUGAGCACGCUGCGCUACAAGUGCGUCGGCGUCACGUGGCAGGGCAGCUUCCACGUCGUGGGGGGCUUUGCGGAGAGCGCGCUGACGGCCUGCGACACCUCCCUCCUGGCGCCCGGCGGAGCCACCGCCGUGCUGCAGUCGUCGGCGCUGGAGCGGAGCUCGGCCGAGGUGUUCCACUGCGCGAGGGGCACGUGGGAGAUCCUCCCGGGGAUGUGGCAGCUCGACGUGCCCCCGAACCAGAUCGUGGCGGUGGCCAACAGGCUGUUCAGCUCCGGCGACUGCCUCACCAGCUGGAAGGGACACGUCGAGGUCUACGACGGCGAGCUCAACAUCUGGAGCAUCGUGGACCACUCCGCCCUGCCCGACCUGUCGCUGCUCGCCAGUCUCCCGUCUUCAGCUCAGCGGCUCUACCUCACCAUGGCCGUCGUCGGCACGCAGCUCUAUUUCCUCGCCGGCUACCAGGUGCCGUCGGGCGACGACAGCUUCCGAACAGUCUCGCUAGUGCACAGCUUCGACACCAGCGCUGCACCGGGGCUGGCGCCGGCGUGGAGCAGCUUCCGGCCCGAGAUGAGUCACGAGGACGCCGAGGACGGCGGCAAGGAGCUGUUCAGCCAGUGCUGCACGGUGCAGCUCUCCAACUAAUCGUAAUUACAGAAUUACAGUCUCAGUCUUCCAAUCCAAUCACAGCAUAUGCAUCAUGGUUCUGAAACUUUUCUGAUCACAGCAUCAUGCAUUGUGUCUCAUCUACAGACUUGUGCUCCUGUGGUGAAUCUGUUUGAUACUUUGAUCCAUACAAAACAAUCUGCAUGAGAAAAUGUG
rnacentral:misc_RNA from 1 species